GUCCAGAGGCUGCCAGUCGGUCGACAGCCAUGGCCACCGCCGAUCCGGUUGGUGUUGCUCCGAUCUGCUCCGAAUUUCCUCCACUUCCGUCCGCCAUUUUCCCUUUCGCAACCUUGGAAUUGUUUUCCCACCACUCCGGUGUUCCCGGAGCGUGGUGGGUUGCCUCGGCCGGCGGCGAUGUGUGGCGGCCGGGAUAUAGACUGUUGGGUAUGGUGGUGAACGGUGGCGAGGCCGGUUCCAAUCCCUCCCGAUGAUGAUGCGUUGAUGUCGGAAUGGUUGGUUGCCGGCUGCAAAAUUUGUAGCCGGGCGGCCUCCCUUCUAACUUUUGAGAAAGCCGACUCCGCUGAGGGAGCCGGGGUUUCCUUGAGGAUAUCCCGACGGACGUUGUCGUAUUUUGUAUCUAAUCCGGAGAGGAAUUGGUACAACCGCCGAUUUCCGAUCAGUUUCUGGUAUUUGGUGAUGCCUUCUUCACAACAGCCCAACGGAUUCGGCUCCCUCCUGUCGAUAUUGAGCCAUAUGGUUUGUAAUUCGUUCCAAUAUUCCUCUAGAGUGAGUUGCCCCUGAUUCACCUUAUUCGCUUUUACUUCGUUCCAAUAUUCCUCUAGAGUGAGUUGCCCCUGAUUCACCUUAUUCGCUUUUACUUCCAAGUCGUAAAUUUGGAGUGGAUCUGUGGCUCCACUCCCAUAGGUUACUGCUAAGCUAUCCCACACGGCUUUGGCUGUUUGAUGUUGGGAAAAAUUCAUUACUAAUUUCCCGUCCAUAUUCUGUAAUAGCCAGCAAAAAACGGUCAAAUCCGUUUCUUCCCAUUUGUAGUAAUUGGGAUCUGUGGUGUCGGGAGGUGGUGGUUGUCCGGUAAUGUGUCUGGUUCUGCCUCUACUGCCUAUGGCUACCUUCAUGAGGCGUGACCAUAGUGGAUAGUUGUUGCCAUCUAGCUUGAAUCCGAGCACGAUGUUGUCGGAGUUUCGCAUCAUAUUGGCGAUUUGUUGGGGAAAAAAAAGAAAAAAAUGACAGUUGACUGCCUUGGUUUGAAAGGUUGGAGAUAUGGUAAUGGAACAAUGAUGUUUUUUUCUGAGUUCCAAGGAUUAAACUUGCUCUGAUAAUGCAGAGAAAAAUAAAGAGAAGUCAAUGGUUGUUAUUGUAUUUCUUAUAUUUCUCAUUACAAUCAUCCCUUUUAUAGUGUAAGUGUACGCUUGAAGAGGAGAUGACAGUCAAUAUUACACUUCUACAAAGUCAUACAUACAAAGUCAUACAAGGAUAUCCCUAUGAUUAAGGGAUUUUGGUUAA